GGUUGUCAGUGUGGGCAAGUCGCAUGGAAAUGCGCGCCGUGGAGGGUGAGAGCCCCGUCCAACUCACACAGGACAUACCCGCACGAGGGCGUUUCAGAUGAGUCGGGUAGCUUGGGAAUGCUGCUCUAAUCGGUGGUAAAUCUCAUCGAAGGCUAAAUAGCGGCUGGAGACCGAUAGCGAACAAGUACCGUGAGGGAAAGAUGACAAGCACUUUGAAAAGAGGGUGAAAAGAGCCUGAAACCGUCACGGGGGAAGCGGAUUGCGUUGGAUUGAUGGGCGCUUGUGUGUUCAGCCUUCGGGUGCAUUGGCACAAGUGCUUAUCCGCUGUGAGUUUUCGGGGGUCGAUUUUGGACCCCUGGGGACUGAGGGCUCCCUUUUUUAGGUGAGGACAGCGGAGUGACGACGCGAUACGACCCGUCUUGAAACACGGACCAAGGAGUCUAGCGCGGGUGCGAGUCGGAGGGUGCAAGCCCGUGGGCGAAGUGAAAGCGAGUUUUAAAAACGAGCAGUUUGGGGCGGCAUAAGAUCGUUGAUCUUAAGACCGACCCGGAGCAGUUGCGCUGGGACCCGAAAGAUGGUGAACUAUGCCGGAGUAGGGCAAAGCCAGAGGAAACUCUGGUGGAGGCUCGUAGCGGUGCUGACGUGCAAAUCGCUCGUCGAACUUGGGUAUAGGGGCGAAAGACUAAUCGAACCAUCUAGUAGCUGGUUCCCUCCGAAGUUUCUCUCAGGAUAGCGGGCCGACAAGUUGUUUUGUGCGGUAAAGCGAAUGAUUAGCGCAUUCGGGGGCGUUUAGCCUUUGGGCGAUUCUCAAACUUUCAAUGCGCAAGGGUGCCGCUGCUUAAUUGAGCGGUACCGGUAAAAACGUCGGCCCUGUGGGCCACUUUUGGUAAGCAGAACUGGCGAUACGGGAUGAACCGUAAGCAAGGUU
rnacentral:rRNA from 1 species